CCCCUGAAGAAGGAGUAACAAUACAGAAUUGAUUCUUCGUUAAUCCCCCUAAGGUUAGGGAGGAACAAUUACAGUCUACAAUUAUGCUGGAACGGACCUAACGGCAGGUAUGGGUGAGGGCAGAGCAAGUAAUGCAGUACAAUCAUAAAGGAUCAGGUCACCUUCCCCAAUGCAUCAUUGUUACCUCCGACGGGAGCGACAGUCAGUAAACCACCCCCAGCCAUCGGGGACCAGCGCAUCAUCCCCCAACUUGCAGAGCAUGGGGUUUACUGGCAGCCCUCCCCUUACACACGCUGCUGCAUAUGGAAUGAUCACUGCAAUGUACUACUGCUCCGUGCACUGCGGUGCAGCUUCCCCCCACUCCCACUAUACAACCACCUACCUCCGCAACACAGCUUUUCCCGGGCUGCAGACCACGCUCACCCCUAGCAGCAGCAGCAAGCACCGGAUCCGAACACACUAGAGAAAGUAUAUGCUCUAAGCUGGGCGCCUGUGAGACACACCGCCACGCCCCCUGUCACAUGGCACAUAGAGGCGGGGCACCAGCAGGCAAUGGGUUAAAGGAACGCAGUGGCCUUGGCUCCAGAGACCUCCUGACAAUUCCUGGGACUCGGGAGCCCGCAGCAGCAGAGCUGUGUCUUGUAUUGAUAACAAAAGUUGUACAAAACAGACUUGUGAUGUGUGUGCAGUACAAUACCAGGCCGGCAACGUCGCUGUGCGUGGAUUCAGAAGACUUCGGAUAGUGGGCACAUGUGCCAUAGUAAACCCAUUCAUUGAGGUGAUGGUACAACAAUGCAGUGUUCAGUGCCCAUCCCUGUUCUUCAGAAGAAAACAGGACCCUUUCACAACAGAACAUGGAUAAAGAAAAGGGGCUUGAGGACUUGACAGAAAAUUGUUGGAGGCUGAGAGAGGCGUAUUGAAAAUGAGAUGCAUUAUGAUGAUGCUCAGGAUAGACCUCUGACACUUGUGAAGUCAUUUCUCAAGUUCCUGUGUAAGCCGCUCUCUCUGCAGAGGAAGUGAGUUCAGCCAGAGUUUGUGCAAACACUUCCACAUACACUUCUGCCUGUAAGGCCAAAGCCUCCACCAUAGUGUCUCCAUGGAAACGUUGACUGUUCUGGACAGCAAGGGAGAAGCUGGAGGGGAGGAGGGUUGUUUCUGUAUACUAUUCAAAUACUAUGUACAUUUGCCACUAAAUAUUAAUGUGUCAGAAUAAAAUCGAUAAUGUCGUAAGAUACAUCAUUGAAAGCCUA